GCGCCCGUAGCUCAGCCUGGAAAGAGCAAGUGGCUUCUAUCCACAAGGUCGGGGGUUCGAAUCCCUCCGGGCGCGC
rnacentral:tRNA from 1 species